AUGGCAAGUGGCUGUUUUACUGAUAGGAGAGUUCACCGUUCCUGUGCUGUGCUCCUCACUUCAAGUCUUGCAACAUCACUCUGUGUUUCCUUCUGGACAUCCAGAAGCCAGAGUCAAUAUUCCCUUUCUGUUGCCUGUGCCCAGGGAUUAUGGCUCAGCAGAUGCCAACUGUUUACAUUUCAGAAAACGGCACCUCUGAUGCUCACAGAGAAGUUGUGCUCAGAGUUGUGCAGAGAAGAUGCUCACAGUUGUGCCAACCAAUUUCCAUAUGAUAGAAAUACCUGCUCUUUGGUUGAUAGGACAGGAAAAUGCCAUAUUCUGCCAAUGUACAUGGAAACCUGUACAUCAUGGUCUUCGAAAUGA
rnacentral:lncRNA from 1 species